rnacentral:rRNA from 1 species
GUGGGGGAUAUUGCACAAUGGGGGAAACCCUGAUGCAGCGACGCCGCGUGAGUGAAGAAGUAUUUCGGUAUGUAAAGCUCUAUCAGCAGGGAAGAAAGAAGACGGUACCUGAGUAAGAAGCCCCGGCUAACUACGUGCCAGCAGCCGCGGUAAUACGUAGGGGGCAAGCGUUAUCCGGAUUUACUGGGUGUAAAGGGAGCGUAGACGGCAAGGCAAGCCUGGAGUGAAAGGCGGGGGCCCAACCCCCGGACUGCUCUGGGAACUGUCUAGCUAGAGUGCAGGAGGGGUAAGUGGAAUUCCUAGUGUAGCGGUGAAAUGCGUAGAUAUUAGGAGGAACACCAGUGGCGAAGGCGGCUUACUGGACUGUAACUGACGUUGAGGCUCGAAAGCGUGGGGAGCAAACAGG